rnacentral:lncRNA from 1 species
AUGGAACGUGGACUGCCAAAUAUUCCCGUUUCCCCUCUUCCCGCCGAUGCAAGGGGACAUGUUCGGGGUUUUGGUGGCGGCGGCGGGUUUGGGGGAGGAGCAGGAGGGUUCGGAGGUGGUUUUGGAGGGGGUGGAGGGUUCGGCGGCGGCGGGAAUAUUCUCCCGUUCCCCCUUUUUCCGAUGCCAUUUGACAUGGGAGGAUUUGGACAGCCAGGCGUCAUAAUCACCAACAUUACUAUUCCCGGAGGACCGGCGGGUCCCGGAGGAUCAGGACCUGGAUCGUCACCUCGGCCGACCGGCGGGACUGCCCCAGGCGGCUCAACGCCUUCAGGAGGAGGUAGCUCGCGGCCUCCAUCGGGCCCUAGCUCAUCGCCGAGACCCUCGGGACCUCCAGGAGGCGGAGGAACAGGAGGCGGAUCAGGUCAACCAGGUCGGCCAGGAGGUCCGGGGGCAGGCGGGCCUCCCGGAGGAGCAGGCGGCCCCGGGGGAGGUGGUUCCCCGGAGGUUCGGGAGCUCCAGGCGGGGCGCGACCCCCUGGAGCAGGGGGGCCUGGGGCUCCAGGAGGAGGCAGCUCGCCCCGACCUCCAUCAGCCCCGGGUGGGGCAGGCGGGGGAUCCUCCCCAAGACCCGGAGGUGCACCAGGAGGAGCCGGUGGACCCGGAGGUGGUGGACCAGGCGGUCCAGGCGGGAGACCCGGUAGUGCACCAGGAGGAGCAGGGGGGCCUGGAGGUGGUGGACCAGGUGGACCAGGUGGGGGUUCGUCCCCAAGACCCGGUGGUGCACCCGGAGGAGGUGGACCAGGUGGCCCAGGUGGGGGCUCGUCCCCAAGACCUGGUGGCGCUCCGGGUGGAGGUGCACCAGGGGGAGGUUCAGCACCAGGGGGAGGGGCUAGACCAACUGGCGCCGGUGGACCUGGUGGUCCUGGGGGUGCAGGGGGUGCAGGUGGACCUGGAGGAGCAGGUGGAGGUUCUGGUGGACCUGGAGGUGCUGGAGGUGCUGGAGGUGCCGGUGGACCUGGAGGUCCGGGCGGUGGUGGACCUGGUGGUGGAGGAGGAGGUUCAUCGCCAAGACCGAUGCCAGGGUCGAGUCCCCGACCUCCAAGUGGACCUGGCACAUCUCCUCGACCUUCUGGACCCCCUGGACCACAACCAACAAGACCCCCCACCACCGCCACCGUAUACUACAUCUAUCCUCAAUGGUGUAAUGUAUGGUGCCGUCUGUACUAUAAACCAAAACCGGUGUACUACACGCCAUCUUGUCUACUUUAUGGCUGGAUGGGCUUUGGUGGCGGUUUUGGCUGGUAGAAGUUUCUUUUAUGGGUAUCGUCAUCAUCGGCUGAACAGUUGGACUCCAACGCUUUACAUUAUUACAUAAGUUCCUUACUUUCUAAUCCCUCUGUUGCUAGAAACUAGUUGCUAAAUGAUAAUAUUCUGUAAUUAUCAUUCUGUUUAGUAAAACAUAGAAUCAAUUGAAGGUAUUUUGAAAAAAUAGAGAGAAAAUAGCUAGAAUGCCAAUAACAAUAGGUACCCACAUCGCAUUUUCUCGUACAUGAACUAGCUCUGUGAAAUCGGAACUAACUAGCUUUGUAGGUGUGAGAUACAUACCUAUUAUUUACUUUUGUUUUGUUAUGCAGACUUUUUAGAAGAAGAGUUUCCAACUUGAAUAUCUGCCCAUAAGAUGCUUAUGACAAAAUGACGACGGAAUAAGUGCCAUAUUUUAAGUCGGAUCUCAUGAGGGCAAAACAUUUAACCGAAAAAGCAUUGCAACUUGCAUUUAUAUGGCAUUUGAACUUUUGAAUGGUUCUUACUCUCAGGAUCAAUUUGAAUUAUUUCAUCACUUGCAGUUUUAAAUACUAGAAUGAAAAUAUCGACGGUGUAAGUCGGCAAUCACAUAACUCGGUUUGCAACGUCGCAGACUUCCUGUCAUACUUUAUCUUUUAAACGGAAAACUACUCAACGGCAAUUCUUUAAAACUGCCGUGAUUUUUCUUCUCUGUGCGAAGAAAAUUAUGCAAAAAUUUCAAGGAAUGAUGUCAAUUUGUUCUCCUAUAAAAAAUAACAUAGAGGCGGAGAUUUUCAGACAUCGCAAACGAGUUAUGUGAUUGCCGACUUACACCGUCGAUAUGUCCGAUAAUGCACCAUGUAUGCAUACAAAAGUUAAAAUUUUAAGGAAUGUCACUUGCAUCAAAAAACUCGGAUACAGACAAUAAACGGUCAAUUACGCCUUAAAGGCAUCGAGAUCAACAACGUGCACUACCAUGAUCAGUUUAAUCUUGAUUGUUUCUCCUUGUUCACUUCACUCUUUAGGCUUUCUUGGAUAGGUUUUUAUUAUAUUUUUAUGAAAUGUUGCCCAGUAUUUAUGUCAAACAUUUGUUUUUAUUUUAAGUAAUUUAUUUUCAAUGAAUCGUUGUUUAUCAGACUGUUCAUUACUAUUUAUUAUAGAUUAAAUUAAUUUAUAGAUACUGCAAUG